GACGAACGCUGGCGGUGUGCUUAACACAUGCAAGUGGAGCGACGAACCAGGGCUUUGCCCUGGGGCUAAGCCGCGAACGGGUGAGUAACACGUGGGUAACCUGCCCCGACGACCGGGACAACCCGAGGAAACUCGGGCUAAUACCGGCUGUGCUCGCCGCGCACAAGCGCGGCGCGUAAAGGAAGCUUCGGCCUCCGCUUUGGGAGGCGCCCGCGGCCCAUUAGCUUGUUGGUGAGGUAACGGCUCACCAAGGCUGCGAUGGGUAGCUGGUCUAAGAGGACGGUCAGCCACACUGGGACUGAGACACGGCCCAGACUCCUACGGGAGGCAGCAGUAGGGAAUCUUGCGCAAUGCGCGAAAGCGUGACGCAGCAACGCCGCGUGGGGGAAGAAGGCCUUCGGGUUGUAAACCCCUUUCAGGAGGGACGAAGGUGCGGCGGCGAACAGCCGUCCGUACUGACGGUACCUCCAGAAGAAGCCCCGGCUAACUACGUGCCAGCAGCCGCGGUAACAC
rnacentral:rRNA from 1 species